rnacentral:rRNA from 1 species
UACGAAGGAUCCAAGCGUUAUCCGGAUUUAUUGGGUUUAAAGGGUGCGUAGGCGGACUGAUAAGUCAGUGGUGAAAGCCUGUUGCUUAACAACAGAACUGCCAUUGAUACUGCCAGUCUUGAGUACAGUUGAGGUAGGCGGAAUGUGUCAUGUAGUGGUGAAAUACUUAGAUAUGACACAGAACACCGAUUGCGAAGGCAGCUUGCUAAACUGUAACUGACGCUGAGGCACGAAAGCAUGGGGAGCAAACAGG